GGACGGCGGCUACAAUGCAGUCGAGCGGUAGCACAAAAGAGCUUGCUCUCUUGAGACUAGUGGCGGACGGGUGAGUAAUGUCUGGGAAACUGCCUGAUGGAGGGGGAUAACUACUGGAAACGGUAGCUUAUACCGCAUAACGCCAUUAUACCUCAUAGGGGGACCUUCGGGCCUCUUGCCAUCUGAUGUGCCCAGAUGGGAUUAGCUAGUAUUAGGUAUAACGGCUCACCUAGGCGACGAUCCCUAGCUGUGCUGAGAGGAUGACCAGACACACUGGAACUGACACACGACUGAGACUCCUACGGGACUCCUACGUGAGGAAUAUUGCACAAUGCUUCCAAGCCUGAUGCAGCCAUGCCGCGUGUAUGAAGAAGGCCUUCGGGUUGUAAAGUACUUUCAGCGUCUAGGAAGGUGUUGUGGCUAAUAACCGCAGCACUGGAUGUUACCCGACGAAGACUUAUUAGAUAACUCCGUGUCACUACGCGCCAGAAUACGGAGGAAGACAGAGUUAAUCGGAAUUACUGGGAAUUAUUGGCACGUAAAGCGCGCUGUCAAGUCCCUUUAAAAUCC
rnacentral:rRNA from 1 species